UUAGAAUUGACGGGGCCCCGCACAAGCAGCGGAGCGUGUGGUUAAUUCGAUGCUACACGAAGAACCUUACCAGGGUUUGACAUGCAAGUGGUAGGAAUCCGAAAGGUGACCGACCCUUCGGGGAGCUUGCACAGGUGCUGCAUGGCUGUCGUCAGCUCGUGUCGUGAGAUGUUCGGUUAAGUCCGCUAACGAGCGCAACCCUCGUCGUGUGUUAUACGUGUCACACGAUACUGCCGGUAUCAAGCCGGAGGAAGGUGGGGAUGAUGUCAAGUCAGCAUGGCCUUUAUAUCCUGGGCUACACACACGCUACAAUGGCAGAUACAAUAGGUUGCGAAACCGCGAGGUGGAGCCAAUCCUCAAAGUCUGUCUCAGUUCAGAUUGUAGGCUGCAACUCGCCUGCAUGAAGUUGGAGUUGCUAGUAAACGCAGGUCAGCUAUACUGCGUUGAAUACGUUCCCGGGGUUU
rnacentral:rRNA from 1 species